CAGUCGCCGCGGUAAUACGGAGGGUGCAAGCGUUAAUCGGAAUUACUGGGCGUAAAGCGCACGCAGGCGGUCUGUCAAGUCGGAUGUGAAAUCCCCGGGCUCAACCUGGGAACUGCAUUCGAAACUGGCAGGCUAGAGUCUUGUAGAGGGGGGUAGAAUUCCAGGUGUAGCGGUGAAAUGCGUAGAGAUCUGGAGGAAUACCGGUGGCGAAGGCGGCCCCCUGGACAAAGACUGACGCUCAGGUGCGAAAGCGUGGGGAGCAAACAGGAUUAGAGACCCGAGUAGUCCCUGUCUCUUAUAC
rnacentral:rRNA from 1 species